rnacentral:misc_RNA from 1 species
UGCCGCCGCCAACUCGGCCUCCUUUUUUUUGACUGUUCGGUCGGCGACGACAAGCCGCUCCAGCACGCGUGUGGAGUGGAGGACGAUACUUCAACAAAAACCUUCUCCACUCGCCUUUGCGUCAACACGUUGCUCCGGGAAGAAGUUCGCUGCUGUUGACGCCCCCCCCCCCUCCCCCACCGAAGCACUCGUUUAAGGCUGCUCUGCUUCAUACACGCUGACACAUCGGCAGCACGCCACAGCUGCUUCUCCCGCCACAUCCUCCGUUCAAGGCAAAACAGCGAAACGUCAUUUGCCGUCUUUCGCAUUGCUCCGUAAUGGACGGCGUGAAGUGGGGCGAGGCGGAAGAGGAGCUGACGCACUACUUGCGCGAGGAGCCCCCGCGCGUCUCGGCUCUCCCCGUGAGCAUCCGCUAUCGGACGUUUGCGCCACCAGCGCAGGACACGCGCGUUCGCGCCGGACGAUCUGUCCACGACUUUUACCUGUACCGCCGCCGCCGCCUGGACUCGGCCAUCGACGCAGAGCUGACUGCUUCCGGCCUCUCGCUGGUGCAACCUCUGCAGCGCGUACUGACUGACUCCUUUGCGAUUGCGCAGCGGCAGCAGGCGACGUACCAAUGGCUCGCGCAGCGCCAUACUGCUGAUGAAAUUCUCCAUCGCUUUGCCGUGGACAGGAAGCUCAACGCGGCGCCGUGCCUAGCCGCCGUGAACCGCUCGCUGAGUGUUCUCGGUCGUGAAGGCGGGGCAGAUGCCGUGCUUGACGUUCUGGAGGAUGUGCUGUUGGAUACCGCUAUCAUCCCCCUCAGCACUCUGCUUGGUGCCAUCAAGGCGCUGCCUAGCCACCCUGUGCGAGCAGCCCGCGUCGCACUCACCUUCAAGGGUUCGCUGGGGUCACAGAUGGUGCCCCCGAGCGUGUGGGGUAACCUCGGCGCCGCCCUCGCACAGGCGUCACUGCAGAUGCCAAAGCCCCUAGAGGAUCACUUCAUGGAGCUGUUUGAGCGCGUCCUGGCGAUGGUUAGCGCGUCGACAGGUCGGCUGAGCGAAUCGCUCGUGGUGGCAUUUGGCCGGUGUUUGCUUGCCAGUAGCAAGCCCUGCGCCGCAGCUAUGCACCUCGUCCGCGAGGAGCUGCUCAGCGGCCGUAGUCGCGAUGGCUUUACUGGUGCACCACUGUACCUCGGCGCCUUUCUGAGCGAUCUCCUCGUGGGACUGUGCUGCGAAGACGAGAAACUUGGGACAUACCGGCACUCUAGCGCUGACACAGAUACCCUGACCUUUGCGUGUGAUGUCAUCAAGUACGCGUUCGCCGUGCGUGUGCAGUUGGCGCCGAGAGUCUUCGACGAAGUGCUCGCCUUGUGUGAGCGACGGAAGGAGUACUACCGCAUGUGCAUUUUGUUUGUGUCUAUGUGCGUCUUGUCGACUCCAUCGCUGGUGUCCUUGCUCCGAGUGGUGGAAGUGGUGACGCAGAUUUCCGAUCUGCGCACGCCGGUGCAGCGUCUUUUGCCAUUUAGCUGCACCGACUUCUUCCUGUGGUGCUUGCAGCGGUACCCUGUACUGUAUCAGUCACCGGUGGAGUCCCAGAGUCAGCAGAAGGCCACACGACGGGUUUGUGCGCUGCUCGGCUGUCUCGCCGUGGAGGAAAGCAACGCAGAAAAGCUGCCUGCUUUGCUGAAGGUCCUUACGCACGAUGAGGGAGUGGGUUCUAUCAUGGCCGCUAGUGCGGUGUCGGCGGCUGUGCGUCGGUUUCGUGAGCUGCACUGUCCCGCUGGCAACGCUGUCUUUGCCGCCCUCCAGGCCCAGCACGAGGCGGUCCUAGCGGCGGUGUUGGAGAUGCCUUCGAGGCCGACCAGUCCGGCGGCUUCGGCGCCCGCAGCCACCGUCACCGUUGAACUCCGUCGACUCCUGCCCUCGGAGUCGGUGUACUGCACAGUGCUGAGCGCCGCUGCUCUGGCCACGCUGGCGAGUCGCCCGGCCGCGGAGCAGGCGUUUGUGCGCAUGAUGGAGUCGUAUCAGCGCAAGUGCGGCGCCGUCGCGCUCCUCCCGUUCGAGUGUGUCUGUGCUUCCUUUGGGCUGCCGGAUGGCGCGGUCAGGAUGCUGCGCACGUGGCACCGCGAGUACACCUGGCUGGCUGUCUUACCUCUUGGGCUUUCCCUGCAGCUCGAUGGCGUGACUGCCUGCGAGGUGUGCUGCGCCGCCUUCACUGCUACUCAGCAGGUGCACAAAAAGGUCAUUUUCAUCUGUGGCAGCGAGGCCGAGGCAGUAGCGGCAAAGGAAACGAACGUAGAGCCGCUGAUUGUGAUGGAGGCUCUGGUGAGGCGUUUGUUGGGUCAGUGACACGGCUCGGACGACAAGAGGGACCAUGAGGAGCGUGCCUGAUGCUAGGUGUGUGCGUGUGCCUUUUCUCCACGAAACGCGCAGCGUCCAUCGUCACCUCUCCUGCUUUCGCGUAAAGCUCGUGAGGCCACUCCACUCACUGCUUUGGGCACGAACACGCACGCGUCGGCUCACACGGGGAGGGGGGUGUCCCCAAGGAAGGCACUGAGCAAAACGCGUAACCCGUCGCGGUCUUCUCCGCUCCUCCGUUGUGGCGGAGGAGCAUCGCACGCGGCCUUUGCUCUUUUGAAAUGCGUUCUGGGUGCUGUUGGCGCUCACCAUGAACGCUGCAACGCAGCUGCUUUCCU